CUUAUCAAUUUUUGUGGACAUUUUCAAUUAGUUGCAUAGAUAUAGACUAUCAAAAAUAAGUAAAGUUGUGUAUACAUAUUCUACAUUUGGUUAAUAAACGAUUUAAAUAGAAGCGUGGUUUUGUGAAUUCAAACAAUAGAUUUUCUCCUCUCCGCCCUGAGGACUAAGAUAGCAGAACACAGAAAUAACGCUAUUAAAUUCAAUAUCGUUAUCAUUGACCACCUGUACGAUUGCAGACAAAUUUAUUAUCAUCACGUAUUUAUUUGCCCGUCAUACUGGUACAUAGUGUUAAAAACUACCACAGCCGACACUUUCUUAUAAUUUACUGAUUAAAUUAAAUGACUCGAAACAAAAUUAAAAAAAAAAAUAAUAUGCUAACCGGAGAAAUAUGACCUGAUGUAAAAAUGGUCAACAUUAAAUUUAGAUAGAGAAAAACGAACCGUUACUAUUAUAAACGAUAGUCACGUUUAUAAAAGUAACAAGUGAUUACUGAUUUAUUGUAAAAAAAAAAAAAAAAAACAAAAACUUGACGUUUAUUAGUAAUUAAAAUUAUUGAUCUGAAACAUGAUUAAAUUUUAAACUUAUUAAAACUUUUGGAACCACCUGUAUAUCUAGUAUAUCAGAGUUUCGUUCUACUUCCUCUGUACUUCAAUUACGUACAUCCAAAAUAGCUACAAGUGUGUAAUUUAAAAUAACUGAGCAGAACGUUAAUAAAAUAUUUUAUGACCAUCUUUUCAAACAAAAAAAAAAACAUUACUGUAGAUCAAUGAACUAUUUACAUUCCUAGAGAUAGAGAAUUGUCACAUAUGUAACAGAUACCUACAUAGAAAAAGCCAAUGUGACAUAGUCGUAAUAUGAUAUUGUAUGAGUUAUCGUAUUAUACGAGUUUAAAAUUGAAAGCGAUUCCAAUGAAGUACUGAAAGUUAAGAAAAAUUGAUGAGUAGCCAAGAAGAGUAAAAAACUUGUCGCAUGCGCUAAAUAUACUGUUAGUAAAAGACGAAGAUGUAGGUUAAGUUAUAUAUUAGUACCGUCGAAAUAACGUUCGGUUUCAUAUAUGUUUCGCUAAUAAAAUUGUGAAAACGCACUAUCCAUUCCAUUCUAUAGAUAUGAAUAGGAUAGUUUUAUAUACGUGACAUUAAAAUAUUUUUCCUUUAUCAUAAAUUUAUCAUACACUAUGUAACUCAAUUAAGGUAAAUCGCACAUUGAAGCAACGUAAAGAUAAAAGGAGUUUUCGAGUAAUAAGUUAUUCAAAAAUGAACUUUUGACGUGCAGCUCAUAGUAAAAUUUAGGCAAACACUCUUAUUUUAAAUUGUCUCACCGAAUCUGCUAAAAUCUAAAAAAACUAAAAACUUUUGUUUACAUGAAUCGCUUUUUGUAAAUUAUUUAAAAAAAAAUAUUUUGACGAAGGGUUUGAUCAAUAUCUCAAUGGAAAGAAUUUUUAUUCACAAAAUAAUCAUGAGUAAAAGUGAGCUAAUGAUAAUCCGAGAGAAAGGCAGCAAUAGCGAGCAAAAAGGAAAGCAAUAGCUCAAGCUAUAUAUGUCGUGUCUAACCGCCUUAAUAAUUAAAAAAUAAUAAUAAUAAUUAAAUAAAUAAGUAAUUAUUCAAAUAUUAAUUUACUCUCCACACUUGACCUCAAUUAUUUUCAUCAUGACGACGAGGAUAAAUCGAUUUUCAAUAACAACGUCAUAGAGCUUCUCCAUAUU
rnacentral:lncRNA from 1 species